rnacentral:rRNA from 1 species
UACAGAGGGGGCAAGCGUUAUUCGGAAUUAUUGGGCGUAAAGGGCGCGUAGGCGGCUUGGCAAGUGGAUGGUGAAAAUCCCCUCGGCUUAACCGAGGAACUGCCGUCCAAACUGCUUCGCUUGAGACCGGGAGAGGUGAGUGGAAUUCCCAGUGUAGCGGUGAAAUGCGUAGAUAUUGGGGAGGAACACCAGUGGCGAAGGCGGCUCACUGGACCGGUACUGACGCUGAUGCGCGAAAGCGUGGGGAGCAAACGGG